GUGCUUGCUUCAGCAGCACAUAUACUAAAAUUGGAACAAUACAGAGAAGAUGAGCAUGACCCCGCACAAGGAUGACAAAUUCAUGAAGCAUUCCACAUAUCU
rnacentral:snRNA from 1 species